rnacentral:rRNA from 1 species
AGAGUUUGAUCCUGGCUCAGGACGAACGCUGGCGGCGUGCUAAUACAUGCAAGUCGAACGAGAAUUUCUUACACCGAGUGCUUGCACUCACCGUAAGAAAUUCGAGUGGCGGACGGGUGAGUAACACGUGGGUAACCUGCCCAAAAGAAGGGGAUAACAUUUGGAAACAAAUGCUAAUACCGUAUAACCAUGAUGACCGCAUGGUCAUUAUGUAAAAGGUGGUUUUGCUAUCGCUUUUGGAUGGACCCGCGGCGUAUUAACUAGUUGGUAGGGUAACGGCCUACCAAGGUGAUGAUACGUAGCCGAGUUGAGAGACUGAUCGGCCACAAUGGGACUGAGACACGGCCCAUACUCCUACGGGAGGCAGCAGUAGGGAAUCUUCCACAAUGGGCGCAAGCCUGAUGGAGCAACGCCGCGUGAAUGAAGAAGGUCUUCGGAUCGUAAAAUUCUGUUGUUAGAGAAGAAUAUGAGUAAUAGUAACUGAUUAUUCACUGACGGUAUCUAACCAGCAAGUCACGGCUAACUACGUGCCAGCAGCCGCGGUAAUACGUAGGUGGCAAGCGCUGUCCGGAUUUAUUGGGCGUAAAGGGAACGCAGGCGGUUUUUUAAGUCUGAUGUGAAAGCCUUCGGCUUAGCCGGAGAUGUGCAUUGGAAACUGGAAGACUUGAGUGCAGAAGAGGAGAGUGGAACUCCAUGUGUAGCGGUGAAAUGCGUAGAUAUAUGGAAGAACACCAGUGGCGAAAGCGGCUCUCUGGUCUGUAACUGACGCUGAGGUUCGAAAGCAUGGGUAGCGAACAGGAUUAGAUACCCCGGUAGUCCCAGCCGUAAACGAUGGACACUAGGUGUUGGGGGUUCGAAUCCUUCAGUGCCGAAGCAAACGCAUUAAGUGUCCCGCCUGGGGAGUACGGUCGCAAGACUGAAACUCAAAGGAAUUGACGG